rnacentral:rRNA from 1 species
UACAGAGGUCUCGAGCGUUAGGCGGAAUCACUGGGCUUAAAGAGCGUGUAGGCGGCCAUGUAGGUCCGUUGUGAAAACUCGAGGCUCAACCUCGAGACGCCGAUGGAAACCAUGUGGCUAGAGUCCGGAAGAGGAGAGUGGAAUUCCUGGUGUAGCGGUGAAAUGCGCAGAUAUCAGGAAGAACACCCGUGGCUAAGGCGGCUCUCUAGUACGGUACUGACGCUGAGACGCGAAAGCGUGGGGAGCGAACAGG